GACAAACGCUGGCGGCGUGCAUGAGACAUGCAAGUCAUACGGACGAGCUUGCUCGUUAGUGGCGAACGGCCGAGUAACGCGUAGGUGACCUGCCCCGAAGUGGGGGAUAACUGCCCGAAAGGGUGGCUAAUACCGCAUGUGGCGACGUGUUCAUUCACGUCAUCAAAGCCGCGAGGCGCUUCGGGAGGGGCCUGCGUCCGAUUAGCUCGUUGGUGGGGUAACGGCUCACCAAGGCGACGAUCGGUAGGUGGUCUGAGAGGACGAUCACCCAGACUGGGACUGAGACACGGCCCAGACUCCUACGGGAGGCAGCAGUCGGGAAUUUUGCUCAAUGGGGGAAACCCUGAAGCAGCAACGCCGCGUGCGGGAUGAAGGCCUUCGGGUUGUAAACCGCUUUUACCAGGGACGAUAAUGACGGUACCUGAUGAAUAAGUCACGGCUAACUACGUGCCAGCCGCCGCAGUAAUAC
rnacentral:rRNA from 1 species